UAUCUGGUUGAUCCUGCCAGUAUUAUAUGCUGAUGUUAAAGAUUAAGCCAUGCAUGUGUAAGUAUAAAGACCAAGUAGGAUGAAACUGCGGACGGCUCAUUAUAUCAGUAAUAGUUUCUUUGGUUAGUAAAGUACAAGGAUAGCUUUGUGAAUGAUAAAGAUAAUACUUGAGACGAUCCCGUUUGUAUUAGUACAAGUCGGCCACUCUCUUCACGGGGAGUGCGAAUGCCAUUCUGAAUUGAAUAAGGAUGGUAUGACAAUUGUAGAGCACACAGUGUUUAACAAGUAACCAAUGAGAAUUUCUGAUCUAUCAAUUUGUUGGUAGUAUCGAGGACUACCAAGAUUAUAACGGAUAACGAGGAAUUGGGGUUCGACAUCGGAGAGGGAGCUUUACAGAUGGCUACCACUUCUACGGAAGGCAGCAGGCGCGUAAAUUACCCACUUUCGACGUGAAGAGGUAGUGACGACAAAUAACUCUCGAGGUGGUUAACUCCACUUCUUGAAGGAAUGAGUAAGAAGUAAAUACUCUUACGAAA
rnacentral:rRNA from 1 species